UUUAUUGGAGAGUUUGAUCCUGGCUCAGGAUGAACGCUGGCGGCGUGCCUAAUACAUGCAAGUCGAGCGAAUGGAUUAAGAGCUUGCUCUUAUGAAGUUAGCGGCGGACGGGUGAGUAACACGUGGGUAACCUGCCCAUAAGACUGGGAUAACUCCGGGAAACCGGGGCUAAUACCGGAUAACAUUUUGAACUGCAUGGUUCGAAAUUGAAAGGCGGCUUCGGCUGUCACUUAUGGAUGGACCCGCGUCGCAUUAGCUAGUUGGUGAGGUAACGGCUCACCAAGGCAACGAUG
rnacentral:rRNA from 1 species